rnacentral:tRNA from 1 species
GGGUUAGUAACUUAAUAGGCAAAGUGUUUUCUUGUCGAGAAAAUAGAUAUCGGAUCGAUGCCGAUUUAACCCG